AGUCUGGUGCCAGCAGCCGCGGUAAUUCCAUCUCCAAUAGUGUAUAUUAAUGUUCCUGCAGUUAUUCGAUGCUCGUAGUUGGAUUUCUGGGGGCUGAGAUUGGAAGGUGGCCAAGGUCACCGCCGAACUCUUCCUUCAUCCACCUGUUAACGUUGUCCGGGAUUUGUUUCUCGGCUUCAGGCUCAGGUAUUUUGCCCUUUCUAUAUAUUCAUUUAUUUAUCUUCCUUUUGAGUAAAUUAUAGUGUUUCAGGCAGGCGUGCGCCGGAAUACUUUAGCAUGGAAUAAUCGAAUUGGACCGUGUUUUCUUAUAGAAUUCUUCCUUAUUUGUUGGUUUCAAGGACACGGAAAUGGUUAAUAGGGAUAGUGUUUUCAGGGGAGGCAUUAGUAUUUAAUUUCCAGAGGUGAAAUUCUUUGAAAUAUUAAAGACUAACUUAUGCGAAAGCAUUUAUUUUGCCAAUAAUGUUUUCAUUAAUCAUUGAACGAAAGUUAGGGGAUCAAAGACGAUCAGAUACCGUCCUAGUCUUAACCAUAAACGUUGCCGACUAGGGAUCGGAGGGCGUGCACAUUCCGCCUUCGGCACCUUACGAGAAAUCAAAGUCUUUUGGGUUCUGGGGGUAGUAUGGUCGCAAGGCUGAAACUUAAAGGAAUUGACGGAAGGGCACCACCAGGAGUGGAGCUUGCGGCUCAAUUUGACUCAACACGGGAAAUCUUACCAGGUCCAGACAUAGCGAGGAUUGACAGAUUGAUAGCUCUUUCUUGAUUCUAUGGGUAUUUAUUUUAAUUUUGGUGGUGCAUGGCCGUUCUUAGUUGGUGGAGUGAUUUGUCUGGUUAAUUCCGUUAAACGAACGAGACCUCAGCCUGCUAAAUAGUUACCUGUCUUUCUUUUACGAGACUUGAUAACUUCUUAGAGGGACGUUGUGUGCAACCACAAGGAAGUUGAGGCAAUAACAGGUCUGUGAUGCCCUUAGAUGUCCUGGGCCGCACGCGUGCUACACUGAUACGUACAACAAGGUAUAUGCAUUUAUGCAUCGAUGCUGCUCCGAAAUAGACACAGCUAAAUCUUCUAAAAUACGUACCGUGCUGCGGAUAGAUCGUUGAAAUUAUGGAUCUUGAAGGUGGAAUUCCUAGUAAGCGCGGGUCAUCAACCCGCGUUGAUUACGUCCCUGCCCUUUGUACACACCGCCCGUCGCUCCUACCAAUUUCGAGUGGCUCGGUGAACCUCUUUGGACUGUCGAGCAAUCGCGAAAUUAGAGUGAACCUGGUCAC
rnacentral:rRNA from 1 species